rnacentral:misc_RNA from 1 species
UUCUAUGCCAAAAAAUUUGAGUUCCUAUAUCUUAAAAGUAGAUUAAAUCUCCGCAAGUAUUUAUUUUAUUUUUUGUUUAUGAGCAUAGUGAUUUUGUUUUUGCGAUUUACAUUUCUAAAAUCAAUCUUACAAAUUAAAAAAAAUACAAAAAACUAUGAUUUUACAAUUAAUUUAUUUAUAAGUUGAUUUGGACGUCGAUUAAGAUUUAUUUUUUCAUUUACAUUAUGAUUAAGCAAUCAUAUGGCUGCAUGAGUAGUGUUGUUUAAUUUUUUUUCUUUUUUUUUAAUGAUGGACUGUAACGAGAUUAUGAGAGAAAACUAUAGAGUUGUAUUGAUGAAAAAGGUUUUUGAGUUAGAGAAGAUGUUAAACUAAUUAAAUUAAAAAAAAAUCAUGUUUCUUCAAAAAUAAAAUAAAGUGAAAAUAAAUAUUUGCAGGAUAAAAGAGGAACUAAAAAGAAGUGCAACAUUCUCAUUAAUGGAUUCAAACGUAUAAAAU